UACGAAGGGUGCAAGCGUUGUUCGGAUUUACUGGGCGUAAAGGGCGCGUAGGCGGCCUCCGCAAGUCGACUGUGAAAUCUCCGGGCUUAACCCGGAAAGGUCAGCCGAAACUGCGGGGCUAGAGUGCAGAAGGGGCAACUGGAAUUCUCGGUGUAGCGGUGAAAUGCGUAGAUAUCGAGAGGAACACCUGCGGCGAAGGCGGGUUGCUGGGCUGACACUGACGCUGAAGCGCGAAAGCUAGGGGAGCGAACGGG
rnacentral:rRNA from 1 species